rnacentral:rRNA from 1 species
CCUACGGGUGGCAGCAGUGAGGAAUAUUGGUCAAUGGGCGCGAGCCUGAACCAGCCAAGUAGCGUGAAGGAUGACUGCCCUACGGGUUGUAACCUUCUUUUAUAAAGGAAUAAAGUGAGGCACGUGUGCCUUUUUGUAUGUACUUUAUGAAUAAGGAUCGGCUCACUCCGUGCCAGCAGCCGCGGUAAUACGGAGGAUCCGAGCGUUAUCCGGAUUUAUUGGGUGUAAAGGGAGCGUAGAUGGGUUGUUAAGUCAGUUGUGAAAGUUUGCGGCUCAAGCGUAAAAUUGCAAUUGAUACUGGAGUUCGUGAGUACAGGUGAGGUAGGCGGAAUUCGUGGUGUAGCGGUGAAAUGCUUAGAUAUGACGAAGAACUCCGAUUGAGAAGGCAGCUUACUAAACUGCCACUGACAUUGAUGCUCGAAAGUGUGGGUAUCAAACAGGAUUAGAUACCCUAGUAGUC